UACGAAGGGGGCUAGCGUUGCUCGGAAUCACUGGGCGUAAAGCGCACGUAGGCGGCGAUUUAAGUCAGAGGUGAAAGCCCGGGGCUCAACCCCGGGACUGCCUUUGAGACUGGAUUGCUAGAAUCUUGGAGAGGCGGGUGGAAUUCCGAGUGUAGAGGUGAAAUUCGUAGAUAUUCGGAAGAACACCAGUGGCGAAGGCGGCCCGCUGGACAAGUAUUGACGCUGAGGUGCGAAAGCGUGGGGAGCAAACAGG
rnacentral:rRNA from 1 species